rnacentral:misc_RNA from 1 species
CAACAACCGAGAGGAGGUGAUCCGAUGUCGAGUGGGAUCUUGAGGCGGACGAUGUCGUGGUCGCUCAGGCUUGCAUCCGGAACUCUCCUGGAGCGCAUCUGAGACCUAAGCGGUAGACAUUGCACUCCGCUCACAACGAUGAUCUCACGGGGCCGCUCUUUCGGGAGCGGCCC